rnacentral:misc_RNA from 1 species
GGAGCAGGAGCCUUUAUUUGGAGUUGCAAGGCAUUAGUUUCGGAGAUUAAAGCGUCAAAAAAAGGAGGUUGAAAUGAUGUUGCAAGAACACAGAUCGACAUCUUUCCAGGGGAAACUGCUGAAGCAUAAUCUUGAUUCAGAAGUCGUCAAUGCUCUCAAUGACCUAAAAAGGAAGCUCAACGAAAGUGAACCGAAGUAGAUGGGAAGCUUGUUUGUAGAAAUACUCUAUUUUUCUAACUCCAUUCUUUGUUCAUUAAUUUAAUCCGAAUCUCAUGUUCAU